rnacentral:RNase_P_RNA from 2 species
GAAGCUGGCUAGGCAGUCGCCGCCCUGGGCAACCAGGGGGGAGGAAAGUCCGGGCUCCAUAGAGCAGGAUGCCGGUUAAUGACCGGCCGCCGUGAGGCGAGGACCAGGGCCACAGAGACGAGCGUAUUUAGUUACGGUGAAACGCGGUAACCUCCAUCCGGAGCAAGGCCAAAUAGGCAGACGAUGAAGCGGCUCGCUGAGUCUGCGGGUAGGCUGCUUGAGCCGUCGGGUAACCGCCGGCCUAGAGGAAUGACUGUCCACGACAAAACCCGGCUUAUCGGCCAGCUUCACCU